CAGAAUUUCAAAGCCAGCAACAUUCCUGCCAGAGUGCCAUCUACAUAUGCUCUAGUCCUAACAUCAGUUUGUUCUCCAGGUAAGAGCUCCAGUUUUUCAAGAUAGCCUUUGUGAACAUUGUCGAAACAUGCUGCUAACUCAGAUUGUCAAUUGUGAGCUCUGAAAACAGAUAAGCAAGCACACAAGGUUAUAGCAAUCACCAAUGGGGGUUUUAUGCUUUAGCAUGCAAUUAUUAAAACGUUUUAUAAACCCACGAUUGCUAAGGUUAUAAACCCUAAACAUGACGGUCUUUACUUUGGUUCUGCUCUUUAGUAGCCAUUUCAAAUCUGUGCCUUGCCGCUAGCUAGCUAGCUCUCUGAAAUAUUGGGUGUUGUUUUUGAUGACUUGCAAAGAAAAGUGGGUGUCUAAUACUGAGAUACACCCACUUUUCUUUGCAUUUACCAGGUUGGUCAUGAUUGUUAAUUAAUCUUCUAAUUUUCUUUGUAACCUCCAAUUCUGUGGAAACUUAGAGAAAGCGAGAGAAAGUAGCUAUCCUAGCUAAGCCAAAAGGCUGCAAACGAUCACAGCCUUUUAUACUAGUAGAAAAUUAUGCUAACAAUACUCAGUGACACUAGAAAGUGAGUAGCAUAGUCAUACUCGAAGUAAUAAGGCAGAAACUAAGAUUAGUCAAGAAGUUCCAGUUGUUGCUGCACUUUCCUUGUUUUUUUGACUUCUGUUUUAAUAUAGCAGGUGUAGCAACGAUAUUUUUAAACUACUACGACUCAUAGACUAACAGGAGACGUAAUACAAGACAGAUAAACGCUCAAGAAUGCCAAAGCGAGCAGAAGUACAGUUAGCCUCGAGACCAGGCCGAUCAAGGGGCCUGGUCUCGAGGCUAAAGUACAGUAGACGCUACUGCUGAGUCAGCACAAACGAAAAAGCCUGGAAUGUCUAAUAAAAGGUCAUAAGUGGGAGUAUUGGUGAUAUGUCCGACCUCCUUUUUUCCACUGUUCAAGAGCGGCGUUUAUUAGCUCCAGAUAAUUUAGUUUGUCAUCAAAAGUUGUUUUCACCUGCAUAAACUUGAACUCUGCCAUGAGAAAGUCUUUGUGAAGCACUAACAAGCUGCUACUUGUAGCUACGUACAUGUAGCUAGCUGCUAGUAAUAAUUUUUUUGGCUGCCACGUGCAGAAAUGCUAGAGUCAAAGUUCACUGAGGCUACUAUUUGAGAGCGGCUACUAAAUGUUUCAUUUUGCUAGCAAGGGAGGCUACUAUUUGAGUGCGGCCUUUACACAAGAGAGGCGUCUGAUCGAGCAUAUACGGUAACCAUUAUUCAAGCUCUAUUUACCGUUGCAACUAUCUUCUUCAUUGAAUUUAGGUAAGUUUAAUCUUGUAUUGUACACAUUUAUCCCUUUUUCUCUGAAAUGAUUAAUGUUUAGGUCGUAUACUUCAAUACGCUUGUUGGUAAAUCAUGUGGUAUCACCCCAAGCCAAAGAAAAUUAGUCAUACAUCAGCUGGUAGAAUUUAGUGCUAGAAAAAAGUUGAAUUAAAGAGCACCACUAAAGAUCCCUUUUUUGGGAAUAUGCUAAGCGUUACAGAAAUUUUAAUUUUAGGCAUACAUUCCCUUAUGAUUGGUGAUCACCCCAAGAGCAUUAGUUUUGGAUCAGGUGGAUGUAUAGCUUUUGUGUGCAUGAAUGUGUAGUCACCUAUUUUUACCUCACAAUUGUUGUUGGCCCGGUAGUAGAUUGUGGUGAAGGGCCUGUAGGCCCGAGAUAUUUAACUACUACAAAUGCUGUUUCAUCUAUAUUUUAUAUAGCAAUACCUCGCAAGCCAAAACUUACUGAGUACGCUGAAGAAAAGAAGACAGAAGAAUACCGAAGAAUACCCCUCCUCUCUCUACACCCCUACACGUCACCGCCCUCGUAAAUGUUAUUGGCUGUUCCGGCUAUAUAUACACUCUUGUAUACCUCACCAGCUUCUCUCCAUCUAAGACUGUCUGAUUAGAGUGCUAAACUAAUCAUAAUUAUAGCUGUAAUAAUCAUUUUUAUCGUGUAAGUUUUUGUUAAUGUUGUUCGGUUUGAUCCCA